AGUGAACGCUGGCGGUAGGCCUAACACAUGCAAGUCGAACGGCAGCACAGUAAGAGCUUGCUCUUACGGGUGGCGAGUGGCGGACGGGUGAGGAAUACAUCGGAAUCUACUUUUUCGUGGGGGAUAACGUAGGGAAACUUGCGCUAAUACCGCAUACGACCUACGGGUGAAAGCAGGGGAUCUUCGGACCUUGCGCGAUUGAAUGAGCCGAUGUCGGAUUAGCUAGUUGGCGGGGUAAAGGCCCACCAAGGCGACGAUCCGUAGCUGGUCUGAGAGGAUGAUCAGCCACACUGGAACUGAGACACGGUCCAGACGCCUACGGGAGGCAGCAGUGGGGAAUAUUGGACAAUGGGCGCAAGCCUGAUCCAGCCAUACCGCGUGGGUGAAGAAGGCCUUCGGGUUGUAAAGCCCUUUUGUUGGGAAAGAAAAGCAGCAGGUUAAUACCCCGCUGUUCUGACGGUACCCAAAGAAUAAGCACCGGCUAACUUCGUG
rnacentral:rRNA from 1 species